CGGGGAUUAGCGCAGUCUGGUAGCGCGCACGGUUUGGGACCGUGAGGCCGCCGGUUCGAAUCCGGCAUCCCCGA
rnacentral:tRNA from 1 species